GAAGAUCAAUGUAAACAAGCAAAAGACAUGUGUAGAGAUAAAGAGACUGUAAUAUUCAAUCUCAUUUCUUCUGGAAAAGAACUGACAAAGAAAGCACUUGAGCUUCGAUCAGACUUAGAGGGUGCUGCAUUGGACGUGUCUACCUUGUUCGCCAAAAUUGAACACAAGAACAACUUAGAAGAAACAAACAGGCAACAUGUGU